rfam:Picea glauca, whole genome shotgun sequence.
AUUGUAAUUCCUACAAUGUUAAUGCACUAGAUCCCAUUAGAAUUAUGUAGUUAAGCGCAUUUGAGAUAAAGUAGUACUGGGAUGGGUGACCUCUCGGGAAUUCCUAUUAUUUUACAUGC